rnacentral:rRNA from 1 species
AUUGAACGCUGGCGGCAGGCCUAACACAUGCAAGUCGAGCGGUAGCACAGAGAGCUUGCUCUCGGGUGACGAGCGGCGGACGGGUGAGCAAUGUCUGGGAAACUGCCUGAUGGAGGGGGAUAACUACUGGAAACGGUAGCUAAUACCGCAUAACGUCGCAAGACCAAAGUGGGGGACCUUCGGGCCUCAUGCCAUCAGAUGUGCCCAGAUGGGAUUAGCUAGUAGGUGGGGUAACGGCUCACCUAGGCGACGAUCCCUAGCUGGUCUGAGAGGAUGACCAGCCACACUGGAACUGAGACACGGUCCAGACUCCUACGGGAGGCAGCAGUGGGGAAUAUUGCACAAUGGGCGCAAGCCUGAUGCAGCCAUGCCGCGUGUGUGAAGAAGGCCUUCGGGUUGUAAAGCACUUUCAGCGGAGAGGAAGGCGGUGAGGUUAAUAACCUCAUCGAUUGACGUUACCCGCAGAAGAAGCACCGGCUAACUCCGUGCCAGCCGCCGCGGUAAGAC